AUGGGGAAACUUAACACAAUAUCCGGAGCCCUUGAUGCCCUGCAGAGGAAGGAGGAGGAUGUCCUCAAAUUCCACGCUGCAGGAACCUACUUAGGUGGCACCAACCUCGACUUUCAUGUGGAGCAGUUCAUCUACAAAAGGAAAAGCGACGGCAUCUACAUCAUCAAUCUGAAGAGGACCUGGGAGAAGCUGCGGCUUGCAGUUCGGGCUAUUGUUGCCAUUGAGAACCCUGCUGAUGUCAGCGUCACCUCCUCCAGGAACACUGGGCAGCGAGCAGUGCUGAAGUUCGCUGCCGCCACUGGAGCCACUCCGAUGAUCGCUGGCCAUUUCACCCCAGGGACCUUCACUAACCAGAUCCAGGCAGCCUUCAGGGAGCCACGGCUUCUAGUGGUGACGAUCCCGGGUCUGACCACCAGCCCCUCACAGAGGCGUCUUACGUGAACCUGCCCACCAUUGCCCCGUGUAACACAGACGCACCUUUGCGCUACGUGGACAUCGUCAUCCCGUACAACAACAAGGGAGCUCACUCAGUGGGUCUGACGUGGUGGAUGCUGGCCUGGGAAGUACUCUUCAUGCGUGGCACUAUCUCCCGUGCUCACCCAUGGGAGGUUAUGCCUGAUCUUUACUUCUACAGAGACCCAGAGGAGAUUGAGAAGGAAGAACAGGCUGCUGCUGAGAAGGCUGUGACUAAGGAGGAAUUUCAGGGCUCCCAAGUUCACUGCUGCUCAGCCAGAGGUGGCUGACUGGUCUGAGGUGUGCAGGUGCCCUCGGUACCCACCCAGCAGUUCCCUACUGAAGACUGGAGUGCCCAGCCAGCCACUGAGGAUUGGUCAGCAGCUCCCACAGAGCAGGCCACCGAGUGGGUUGGAGCCACCACUGAGUGGUCCCAAGCUCCUCUGCAGACACCUGAGCAAAGGGGGAAAGGUUGUGAGAAACAAGAUAGCAGCAGGGUCCCCUUUAUACGCUUCCUUAGUAGCAACACCCGCAGAGUUCUAGUACAAUACUACGGCCAGGACGCAGAUAUUGAUACCGAACAUUUCCGUCACCACCGAGGUCCCCAGGAUCACUUGCCCAAGGGCGGAACUGCCCGCAGUGAUCUGGGCCUUUCCACAUCAGUCAUUGCGAAGAAAAGGCCCACAGGCCCAUAUGAUGAAGGCAUUUCCUCAGGCACUCCUCGGAAGAUUUGCCAUAACCGGGGUUCUACAAGGCCAGCCUCUUCUGAGUCUUGA